rnacentral:rRNA from 1 species
CCUACGGGGAGCUGCAGUGGGGAAUAUUGCACAAUGGGGGAAACCCUGAUGCAGCGACGCCGCGUGAAGGAAGAAGUAUUUCGGUAUGUUAACUUCUAUCAGCCGGGAAGAAAAUGACGGUACCUGACCAAGAAGCCCCGUCUAACUACGUGCCACCAGCCGCGGUAAUACGUAGGGGGCAAGCGUUAUCCGGAUUUAGUGGGUUUAAAGGGUGCGCAGGCGGAGGUGCAAGUCAGCGGUCAAAUUGCGGGGCUCAACCCCGUACUGCCGUUGAAACUGCAUCCCUUGAGUGCGCGAGAAAUAUGCGGAAUGCGUGGUGUAGCGGUGAAAUGCAUAGAUAUCUCGCAGAACUCAGAUUGCGAAGGCAGCAUACCGGCGCGCAACUGACGCUCAUGCACGAAAGCGUGGGUAUCGAACAGGAUUAGAUACCCCAGUAGUC